CAGCUCUGUCUUCUUCCUGUUCUG
rnacentral:piRNA from 1 species